AGAAUCAACGCUGGCGGCGUGCCUAACACAUGCAAGUCGAACGCGAAAGCCCCGCAAGGGGCAAGUAGAGUGGCAAACGGGUGAGUAACACGUGGGUGACCUGCCUUCGAGCGGGGGGAUAACGUCCCGAAAGGGACGCUAAUACCGCAUAACAUCCUGCCUUUGAAGAGGUGGAGAUCAAAGCUGGGGAUCGCAAGACCCGGCACUUGAAGAGGGGCCCGCGCCUGAUUAGCUAGUUGGUGGGGUAAUGGCCUACCAAGGCAACGAUCAGUA
rnacentral:rRNA from 1 species